AUUGAACGCUGGCGGCGUGCCUAAUACAUGCAAGUCGAACGAGUGGCGGACGGGUGAGUAAUGUCUGGGAAACUGCCUGAUGGAGGGGGAUAACUACUGGAAACGGUAGCUAAUACCGCAUACCAUCAGAUGUGCCCAGAUGGGAUUAGCGAGUAGGUGGGGUAAUGGCUCACCUAGGCGACGAUCCCUCGCUGGUCUGAGGGGGUGACCAGCCCCACUGGAACGGAGACACGGUCCAGACUCCUACGGUGGGCAGCAGUGGGGAAUAUUGCACAAGGGGGGCAAGCCUGAUGAAGCCAUGCCGCGUGUGUGAAGAAGGCCUUCGGGUUGUAAAGCACUUUCAGCGGGGAGGCGUUACCCGCAGAAGAAGCACCGGCUAACUCCGUGCCAGCAGCCGCGGUAAUAC
rnacentral:rRNA from 1 species